AUGGGCUGCUUGAUAACGGGUUACUUCCCUGAACCAGCCACAGUGCAAUGGAAUUCAGGAGCUAUCACCUCCGGCAUUCAGAACUUCCCUGCAGUACGGCAAUCAUCCAGCGGCACCUACACCUUCACUAGCCAGCUCACCGUCCCAGCCUCCAGCUUGCACUCCCAGACUUUCCAAUGCAAUGUUGAACACGCGGCUACCAGCACCAGAAUCAACAAACAGAUCGAAGCCUGCUCUCAAGAGACCCCGGACGUCCGCCUCCUCCAUUCCUCCUGCAACCGCAACUCAGACGAUGCCACUAUUCAGCUUGUGUGCCUUAUCUCGGGCUUCUACCCUAGCACGGUCACAGUGAAUUGGCUGGUAGACGGGCAAUCCGGGAUGUUGCCUGCACACACUGAGGACCCCAAGAAAGACGCCAGCGGGGACACCUUCAGCACCACCAGCACAGCCAAUAUUACCCAACUAGAAUGGAAAGAGGGGAAGACAUACACCUGCCAGGUGAUCCACCAAGGUUCCACAGUGGAAAGAAAUGCCACAAAAUGCAGAGGCUGUGGCAAUGCAGUCCAUGUGGAGACCAUCCCGCCAUCCUUCGCCGAUAUUUUCCUGACCAAGUCGGCCAAGCUGACCUGCAGAAUCUCCAAUAUACCCGAUGAGCAGGACCUUGAAGAACUGAAUGUCACCUGGAUAAGAGCAUCUGACAACAAAGAACUGGAGACCGUCAUUGGGCAGCCUAAGCAGCAAGAAAACAGUGAGCUCUUAUUUGUGGAAGCAACAGCCACCGUUUGCAAAGAAGAGUGGGACAGCGGGGAUACCUUCAAGUGCAAAGUGACUCUUCCCCUUCUCCCCACAGCUGUCAUAAAAACACUGAAAAAGGUUCAUGGCGGCACUCCCAGAGCUCCCGCUGUCUACGUCCUCCCCCCUCCCUCGGAGCAACUGGCAUUGCAGGAAACAGCCACCCUCACUUGCCUGUUGAAAGGUUUCUACCCCGAGGAAUUCUUUGUGAAAUGGCUCCGGAAUGACGAGCCCGUGGGAGAUUCAGAGUUCUUCACCAGCCGUCCCGUACAGGAAUCCAAGACCCCCGAGCGGUACUUCACCUCCAGCACAAUUAAUGUCAAUGAGCAAGACUGGAACUCUGGAGACCAUUACACUUGCGUGGUGGGACACGAGGCGCUUCCCCUCCAGACGACUCAGAAGACCGUAGACAAGAACACGGGUAAACCCACCCUUGUCAACGUCUCCCUGGUACUCUCCGACACCACCACCACUUGCCACUAA